CCUACGGGUGGCAGCAGUGAGGAAUAUUGGUCAAUGGGCGAGAGCCUGAACCAGCCAAGUCGCGUGAGGGAGUACUGCCCUCUGGGUUGUAAACCUCUUUUGUCGGGGAGCAAAAGCCGGAUGUGUCCGGCUGGUAGAGUACCCGAAGAUAAAGCAUCGGCUAAAUCCGUGCCAGCAGCCGCGGUAAUACGGAGGAUGCGAGCGUUAUCCGGAUUUAUUGGGUUUAAAGGGAGCGUAGGUGGGUUGUUAAGUCAGUUGUGAAAGUUUGCGGCUCAACCGUAAAAUUGCAAUUGAUACUGGCAGUCUUGAGUACAGUUGAGGUAGGCGGAAUUCGUGGUGUAGCGGUGAAAUGCUUAGAUAUCACGAAGAACACCGAUUGCGAAGGCAGCUUACUAAACUGUGACUGACAUUGAGGCGCGAAAGUGUGGGUAUCAAACAGGAUUAGAUACCCCAGUAGUC
rnacentral:rRNA from 1 species